rnacentral:rRNA from 1 species
GACAAACGCUGGCGGGGUGCGUGAGACAUGCAAGUCGAACGGGGUUUCGAUCGGGCUUGCUCGUUGAAACCUAGUGGCGGACGGCUGAGUAACGCGUAGGUGACCUGCCCGGAAGUGGGGAAUAACUGCCCGAAAGGGUGGCUAAUACCGCAUGUGGUCGGCGAUUCGCUUCGUCGCCUAAAGCCGCAAGGCGCUUCCGGAGGGGCCUGCGUCCGAUUAGCUAGUUGGUGAGGUAACGGCUCACCAAGGCGACGAUCGGUAGCUGGUCUGAGAGGAUGAUCAGCCAGACUGGGACUGAGAACGGCCCAGACUCCUACGGGAGGCAGCAGUCGGGAAUUUUGCCCAAUGGACGAAAGUCUGAGGCAGCAACUCCG